UACGUAGGGGCCUAGCGUUGUCCUGAAUCAUUGGGCGUAAAGAGCUCGUAGGCGGUUCGGCAAGUCACGUGUGAAAUCUCCACGCUUAACGUGGAGGCGCCACGUGAAACUGCCGUGACUCGAGUCCGGUAGGGGAGUGUGGAAUUCCCGGUGUAGCGGUGAAAUGCGCAGAUAUCGGGAAGAACACCUAUGGCGAAGGCAGCUCUCUGGGACGGUACUGACGCUGAGACGCGAAAGCGUGGGGAGCGAACAGG
rnacentral:rRNA from 1 species